rnacentral:rRNA from 1 species
GACGAACGCUGGCGGCGCGCCUAACACAUGCAAGUCGAACGAGAGAUGAGGAGCUUGCUCUUCAAAUCGAGUGGCGAACGGGUGAGUAACGCGUGAGGAACCUGCCUCAAAGAGGGGGACAACAGUUGGAAACGACUGCUAAUACCGCAUAAGCCCACGGCUCGGCAUCGAGCAGAGGGAAAAGGAGCAAUCCGCUUUGAGAUGGCCUCGCGUCCGAUUAGCUAGUUGGUGAGGUAACGGCCCACCAAGGCGACGAUCGGUAGCCGGACUGAGAGGUUGAACGGCCACAUUGGGACUGAGACACGGCCCAGACUCCUACGGGAGGCAGCAGUGGGGAAUAUUGCACAAUGGGGGAAACCCUGAUGCAGCGACGCCGCGUGGAGGAAGAAGGUCUUCGGGAUUGUAAACUCCUGUUGUUGAGGAAGAUAAUGACGGUACUCAACAAGGAAGUGACGGCUAACUACGUG